AAUCUACGACGUACCAGCCCUUGUAUAUAUGUAAGCAGAGAGAGAGAGAGGAUGGAUGAGAACAAGACAGCAGUGUAGAUCGUCGAUGAUGAGCAUCACGAGUAGGAAGUCGACCUUGGUCCUCAUACUCAUCGUCGUCCUCGUCGCCUCGAAGGAUGAGGCGAGCAUUGGGGCGGACGCUGAAUGCAACAACCUUCCAGUCAGCUGCUAUAUAAAGUGCCUGCGGCCGGGCGCCUGCAACAGCUGCUGCAAGCAGAAUCACUUCGUCCGUGGAGAGUGCAUUGGGUGGGACUGCUGGUGCUGCAGAGCCUAGCUAGCCCUGCUCUCAUCUGACCAAUGCAAGGAGAUUUACUUGUAAUAAUAAUCAUCAUAAUAAUCAAUGGUACCAGCAUGCAUCGAUCGAUGGAUAGACAAUGCC